rnacentral:tRNA from 1 species
AGCUCAAAUGGUAGAGCAUCUGGUCAAUACCCAGAAGGUUCCCGGUUCGAGUCCGGGCGUCG